UAUUCAUAAUAAGUGUUUUAUGGCACUUUUCAAUCCAUAUCCACCUUGUGUGCAAUGUCAGUCGAUCUUCUUGGAGAUCGACCAAACAUCAACCUUUAUCUUUUAACUCUUUGUCUGAAAAAUAUUAUGAAUAAACAAUUCAAAAUACAACUUUCAACAACGGAUCUCUUGGCUCUCGCAUCGAUGAAGAACGCAGCGAAAUGCGAUACGUAAUGUGAAUUGCAGAAUUCAGUGAAUCAUCGAAUCUUUGAACGCAUAUUGCGCUCUUUGGUAUUCCGAAGAGCGUGCUUGUUUGAGUAUCAGUAAACACCUCAAAGCUUUUGGAUUUUUUUUGAAAGCUUUGGACUUGAGCAAUCCCAACACCAAUCUUUUUUAAGAUCGGUGGCGGGUUGCUUGAAAUGCAGGUGCAGCUGGACAUUCUCCUGAGCUAAAAGCAUAUUCAUUUAGUCCCGUCAAACGGAUUAUUACUUUUGCUGCAGCUAACAUAAAGGGAGUUUGACCGUAUUGGCUGACUGAUGCAGGAUUUCACAAGGGUCGGCAACGAUUCUUGUUAAACUCGAUCUCAAAUCAAGUAAGACUACCCGCUGAACUUAAGCAUAU
rnacentral:rRNA from 1 species